rnacentral:rRNA from 1 species
AUGUUCGAGAAGAAGGGGAAGGAUGCCGCGUAUUACGAAGCAGAGUGCUUGAAGAUCAAUCUGACGAAGAAAGCCGUCCACUGCCGCUCUGCCGUCGGCACUAAUUUGGAUGGGAAUGGCGAUUUCAUGCUUGAUUAUGAUUACUUGGUUGUCGCUCUUGGAGCUGCUGUCAAUACAUCUAACACUCCUAGCGUGAUGGAGCAUUGCCACUUUCUGAAGGAAGUGGAGGAUGCCCAAAAGAUUCGGAAGAGCGUGAUAGACUGCUUUGAAAGGGCGUCAAUUCCUAACAUCAGUGAAGAGGAGAAAAGGAAGAUCCUUCACUUUGUGAUUAUUGGUGGUGGACCUACAGGGGUUGAAUUUGCUGCGGAGUUGCACGAUUUUUUUGUCGAAGAUCUGGUGAAACUGUAUCCUGCAAUUGAACAAUUUGUGAAGAUAACAAUUAUUCAAUCAGGAGAACAUAUAUUGAAUACGUUUGACCAAAGGAUAGCUGUGUUUGCUGAAUCAAAGUUCCAAAGAGAUGGCAUCAAGUUGAGUACAGGAUUCAGAGUGAUAAAGGUCUCCGAUGAUUCAAUUACGGUGAAGUGCAAAUCAUAUGGUGUAGAAACAUUGGUGCCGUAUGGAAUGGCUAUUUGGUCUGCGGGUAUUGGUACUCACCCCGUCAUUACAGACUUCAUGAAUCAAGUUGAUCAGGUUGUUAAAUCUGAAUCAAAGUUGUUACCAAGUUAUGCUUAA